AUAUCUCUCUGUACGGGAAGGAUGAGAAGCUUCGACUAAGGUUCGAUUCGAGCGAAGCGAGAAAGCGUUGCCGCAGGCAACGACCCGAAGGGCGAAGCGCGCAGCGCUGAGUCAUCCUUCCCCCACCACCA
rnacentral:sRNA from 3 species